rnacentral:rRNA from 1 species
CAAGUCGAACGAUUAAGACUCCCUUCGGGGAGUGCAUAAAGUGGCGCACGGGUGAGUAACACGUAAGUAAUCUACCUUCGAGUGGGGAAUAACGUUCGGAAACGAACGCUAAUACCGCAUAAUGCAGCGGCAUCGAAAGAUGACAGUUGUUAAAGGAGCAAUUCGCUUGAAGAGGAGCUUGCGGCAGAUCAGCUAGUUGGUAAGGUAAUGGCUUACCAAGGCUACGAUCUGUAUCCGGUCUAAGAGGACGGUCGGACACACUGACACUGAAUAACGGGUCAGACUCCUACGGGAGGCAGCAGUCGGGAAUUUUGGGCAAUGGGCGAAAGCCUGACCCAGCAACGCCGCGUGAAGGAUGAAGUUUUUCGGAAUGUAAACUUCGAAAGAAUGGGAAGAAUAAAUGACGGUACCAUUUAUAAGGUCCGGCUAACUACGUGCCAGCAGCCGCGGUAAUACGUAGGGACCAAGCGUUGUUCGGAUUUACUGGGCGUAAAGGGCGCGCAGGCGGCAAUUCAAGUCAGCUGUGAAAUCUCCGGGCUUAACUCGGAACGGUCAGCUGAUACUGCUUUGCUAGAGUGCGGAAGGGGCAAUCGGAAUUCUCGGUGUAGCGGUGAAAUGCGUAGAUAUCGAGAGGAACACCUGAGGUGAAGACGGGUUUCUGGGCCGACACUGACGCUGAGGCGCGAAAGCCAGGGUAGCAAACGGGAUUAGAUACCCCGGUAGUCCUGGCCCUAAACGAUGAAUACUU